rnacentral:misc_RNA from 1 species
ACUCGCAAACAAAAUGGUUGACAGCACAAAGAUCAUCACAGUUAUAAUCGCUGUCUUUCUUCCCUUCUUAGCUGUCUUUAUGGUUAAAGGUGCCGGAAGA